rnacentral:misc_RNA from 1 species
GAAAUGCGAUAAGUAAUGUGAAUUGCAGAAUUCAGUGAAUCAUCGAAUCUUUGAACGCACAUUGCGCCCGCCAGUAUUCUGGCGGGCAUGCCUGUACGAGCGUCAUUUCAACCAUCAAGCCCCGCGCUUGUGUUGGGGACCUGCGGCUGCCGCAGGCCCUGAAAACCAGUGGCGGGCUCGCUGUCACACCGGGCGUAGUAGAUUUUAUCUCGCUCAGGGCGUGCUGCGGGUUCCGGCCGUUAAAAAGCCUUUUUUACCCAAGGUUGACCUCGGAUCAGGUAGGAAGACCCGCUGAACUUAAGC